GCCCCGCCCAGCCCCGGUCUCUUGGGAGUCACGUAAGAUGGCGGCGGCGGCGGCUAGGGUAAGAGUCGUUCUGAGAACAGUGAAAGAAAUUAUUGUGCAGUUCUGUCCCUUUGAGUCCAAUGUUCGCGGCGCCAGGGAAUUUCUUGCUGCAGUAGGAACAGAAAAGGCACGCCUAACAAACUCUAAUUGCCGGAUUGUAGCUGAUGUAAAGCAUGAUGAGACGGAGCCUGUUGUAUCAGUCACCUUCAAUGAUGGAGAAAGAUUGGUCAUGAAAGCAGCAAACUUGACAAGCAGGGAGAUGCUGUCAUUUUUCCAUGAGAGAUGCUUUGCAAAAGACCCUCAGGCAUAUGAGAAGGCAUCAAAAAAAAGCCACUAACAUUAAAUUGGAUAUUCCCGUUAUGUAUUCACUUAUUCCUGAACAUACUUGGAAAAUCAAGCCUUGUCAAGUGCUGAAUGAUGUUUUACCAUUUUAGUUUAAAAAUGGCAAACUUGGCAAAAAUGGAACUGAUCACAGGCAGAUGAGGCAACGGUUUAACAUCUGACGUCAAAUAUGAUGUUUCCAUCAAUGCAGUGCUCACUGUUCAUUCUGAAGUGGAACUUGACCCUGAACAUUGUGAUUCAGAGACGUGUCUGCAACCAACUGACAAUGGCCAACGUACACAGGAACAAAUAUUGUGGAAUUCAAAUGAGACUGUCUUGUAACGUUUACCAAUUUUACACCUUCUUGGACUUCCUUCAGGCUCUGUAGACAUUCUUUGGCGACAGAAGACUAAGAGCAGCUUAAGAAAACAACAACCAAGGAUGUUAGAGAAAUUGGACCAGUUUUGUCAGAUUGAAAUAGCCUAUCCAACUAAUGCUGGUGUAACAGGCCAUGUGUGUUACUGCCUGUGCUAUCUUUGUCCAUUAACGCAUUUGAAAUACAUAGGGUACAAUAAUUAACACAGAGGUAUAAACAUGAAUGUGUUAUUGAGUGUACUAAAAAUAAAAGAAAGCAGAAGUGUUGAAGACACCACAGUGGAGUUGCAAUAGAAAUGUGUAAUUAUGGAAACCUCAAGAAUUUAUGAAAAUAAAACAUCAGCACCACCUGCUGGCUGAAAAUA